rnacentral:rRNA from 1 species
CUACGGAGGGAUCUAGCGUUAUUCGGAAUUACUGGGCGUAAAGCGAGCGUAGGCUGAUUUGUAAGUUGGAUGUGAAAUCCCAGAGCUUAACUCUGGAACUGCAUCCAAAACUACAUUUCUUGAGUUUGGUAGAGGAGAGUGGAAUUCCUAGUGUAGAGGUGAAAUUCGUAGAUAUUAGGAGGAACACCAGUGGCGAAGGCGACUCUCUGGGCCAAUACUGACGCUGAGGUUCGAAAGCGUGGGUAGCGAACAGGAUUAGAUACCCUGGUAGUCCACGCAGUAAACGAUGAAUGCUAGAUGUUGGAAGCAUUAGUUUUCAGUAUCGCAGCUAACGCAUUAAGCAUUCCGCCUGGGAAGUACGGCCGCAAGGCUAAAACUCAAAUGAAUUGACGGGGACCCGCAUAAGCGGUGGAUCAUGUGGUUUAAUUCGAAGCAACGCGAAGAACCUUACCGGCCCUUGACAUACCAAUCGCGAACUUAAGAGAUUAAGUUCUUCACUUCGGGUGGAUUGGAUAC